ACGUAGGUGGCAAGCGUUGUCCGGAUUUACUGGGUGUAAAGGGCGCGUAGGCGGGAGAACAAGUCAGAUGUGAAAUGCUGAGGCUUAACCUCAGAGCUGCAUUUGAAACUGUACUUCUUGAGUAUCGGAGAGGCAGGCGGAAUUCCUAGUGUAGCGGUGAAAUGCGUAGAUAUUAGGAGGAACACCAGUGGCGAAGGCGGCCUGCUGGACGACAACUGACGCUGAGGCGCGAAAGCGUGGGGAGCAAACAG
rnacentral:rRNA from 1 species